rnacentral:lncRNA from 1 species
CGAGGUUGUCGAGCACUUGCUCCUUUUUAUUUCCUCGAAAUAUCUUUUGCAUAGCCCAUGCCUCUAAUGCAAUAAUACUUCGGAAGAGUGAAUCUUUCUGAAUAAAUGUCUUGAUCUUAGGAGCAUGAUAAAUCUCUCAACAAGGGUCUAACUCAUUUUGAACAAACUCAAUACAGAGUAGAUAGCUUUUAUAAUCAUAAUUAAUAUUUUCAUUUUUAUCAGGCAUAUAAAACACUGAGGAUGGUAGCUAGAAUUUUGAAGAUUUUGAAAUAAAUUCUCCAAGCAACAAUGAUAUCAAGAAUAAGAAACUCAUACUCUACCAU